UGGUAGGUAGUGCACUACUUAGAGAGAGAGCUAGAGAGGUUUUACACUACUACACUGCAGACUGGUAGGUAGUGCACUACUUAGAGAGAGAGCUAGAGAGGUUUUACACUACUGCACUGCAGACUGGUAGGUAGUGCACUACUUAGAGAGAGAGCUAGAGAGGUUUUACACUACUACACUGCAGACUGGUAGGUAGUGCACUACUUAGAGAGAGAGCUAGAGAGGUUUUACACUACUGCACUGCAGACUGGUAGGUAGUGCACUACUUAGAGAGAGAGCUAGAGAGGUUUUACACUACUACACUGCAGACUGGUAGGUAGUGCACUACUUAGAGAGAGAGCUAGAGAGGUUUUACACCACUGCACUGCAGACUGGUAGAUAGUGCACUACUUAGAGAGAGAGCUAGAGAGGUUUUACACUACUACACUGCAGACUGGUAGGUAGUGCACUACUUAGAGAGAGAGCUAGAGAGGUUUUACACUACUACACUGCAGACUGGUAGGUAGUGCACUACUUAGAGAGAGAGCUAGAGAGGUUUUACACUACUGCACUGCAGACUGGUAGGUAGUGCACUACUUAGAGAGAGAGCUAGAGAGGUUUUACACUACUACACUGCAGACUGGUAUGUAGUGCACUGCAGACUGGUAGGUAGUGCACUGCAGACUGGUAGGUAGUGCACUGCAGACUGGUAGGUAGUGCACUGCAGACUGGUAGGUAGUGCACUGCAGACUGGUAGGUAGUGCACUGCAGACUGGUAGGUAGUGCACUGCAGACUGGUAGGUAGUGCACUACUUAGAGAGAGAGCUAGAGAGGUUUUACACUACUACACUGCAGACUGGUAGGUAGUGCACUGCAGACUGGUAGGUAGUGCACUGCAGACUGGUAGGUAGUGCACUGCAGACUGGUAGGUAGUGCACUACUUAGAGAGAGAGCUAGAGAGGUUUUACACUACUGCACUGCAGACUGGUAGGUAGUGCACUACUUAGAGAGAGAGCUAGAGAGGUUUUACACUACUACACUGCAGACUGGUAGGUAGUGCACUGCAGACUGGUAGGUAGUGCACUGCAGACUGGUAGGUAGUGCACUGCAGACUGGUAGGUAGUGCACUGCAGACUGGUAGGUAGUGCACUGCAGACUGGUAGGUAGUGCACUGCAGACUGGUAGGUAGUGCACUGCAGACUGGUAGGUAGUGCACUGCAGACUGGUAGGUAGUGCACUGCAGACUGGUAGGUAGUGCACUGCAGACUGGUAGGUAGUGCACUGCAGACUGGUAGGUAGUGCACUGCAGACUGGUAGGUAGUGCACUGCAGAUGAGUGUCAGUAUAUCAGACUAUUUGAGACAGACUAGUACAUUUAUAUUUCUAUCAAACUAGAAAUUACACUCAUAGACCUUUUGUGAUAUAACGUGUGUGUGUGUGUGUGUGUGUGUGUGUGUGUGUGUGUGUGUGUGUGUGUGUGUGUGUGUGUGUGUGUGUGUGAGGGAGAGAGAGAAUUAAGGAACAGAGAGUGUGUAUAGUUGUGCAUUGACUUAUUUAUUCUAUGUAGGUUGUUUUGUACAUAGAGACAUAUCUGACUGUAAUCAAUCUAUGGGGCUCAAAUCACCUAUUCAGGGCAAACACCUACCACUGGACUACACUACCCACAACCCCCUGCUGCCUGUCAGGACUUGGGACCACACUACCCAGAACCCCCUGCUGUCUGUCAGGACUCUGGGCUACACUACCCACAACCCCCGGCUGUCUGUCAGUACUCUGGACUACACUACCCACAAGCCCCUGCUGUCUGUCAGGACUCUGGACCACACUACCCACAACCCCCUGCUGUCUGUCAGGACUCUGGACCACACUACCCACAACCCCCUGCUUUCUGUCAGGACUACACUACCCACAAGCCCCUGCUGUCUGUCAGGACUAUGGACUGUACUACCCACAACCCUCUGUUGUUAAGUCUGGACUGGACUACACUACCAAUAACCUGCUGUCUGUCAGGACUACACUACCCACAACCCCUUGCUGUGUAUCAGGGCUGGACUCUACUACCCAGAGCCCCCUGCUGUCUGUCUGGACUGGACGCUAACCAGAGUUCCUUGGCUCACAGACCAACCUCUAUCCUGGAAUGCAACGGUGAUACUGUCGGGUCAUCAUGGGUACGGAUGUCCUGGGUGUGGUCGUCAUGGUUACAGACUUGGUCCAGUGGGUUUAGGACAUAUCAGGGUCUAAGAAAGGUCUGUCCAUAUCACACACACGUUUUGUAGAGAUGGAAUGACAGUCUAGUAUUAUUGGGGAUCAGACAGUUAACAUCCCAAAAGGCACCCUGUUCCCUUUAUAGUGCACUACUUUAGACCAGGUCCCCAUAGGGCUCAGUGCACUACGUAGGGAAUAGGGUGCCAUGUAGGACGUCUCCUCAGAGACCCUGUUUACCACUAUAUUUAAUAAUAAUAAUAAUGUAUUAUCCUGUAACAGAGAGAAGUAAUGAACUGUUUAUUUCAGUAAAUCAAAUUGCUUGUUGUAAAUAAGCUAUAAAUUAUUGAAAUAAAUUCUAUAGAAAAGCCAGUGUUGGGUUCGUGUCUGAUUG